UCAAAUAUUGGAAAAAACUGAUGCUGUCUUCAGCUGGACCACUGUGGAAGUUCAGGCCAGAGGUGGAGGGCAAGCGUGUGGAUGGAGAUGGGCACAGUACUUGAACUUGCUUCUCACUCCUCUUUUAUUGAGCCAUGGUAACCCUCAGGAUUCAGCUGUAGCUAUGAGUCAAAAACUUAACAUUCUUGAAACAUGUUUCCAGUCGUUGUAAUUCUGUGCCACUGUCUUCUUUAUGAUGGAGAACAUGAUCCACUUUCUAAGGCUACUAACACUUCUGAGCCCAGCCUGCCUCCUUGCCCUUAAUCAGAGUGGCAGCCAUGGAACCCUGUCUCAGAGCCACAGAGGAGAAGUGUUGGAGAAGAGCAGAGGACAAAACCAGAGGAGCAGGCUGCUACAGGAGCUGGCUUCGCUUCUUGCCAUUGCCUUGUGCUGCAGCAUGGCUCCAGAGCACUUACCAGACACUGAACUGCGAGUUUACCUGCUGACCACCAUCUGUGAUGAGAAGACCCCCAGAUUCUGUCAGACUCUCAGCCACUGCUCUGGCUGCGGGAGCCUAGCAAAUAUGACCAAAAUCUGGCAGACAGGACAAGGUGAAAGACCCUCUGGGCCCUAAGUUCUGAUGGUUCUACUUGAUGUCCAAGGAGAAAGCUGGAAGUGAUUUAGAGAUGAAGAAGAAAGGAAUGGCACUGCUGUUU